rnacentral:rRNA from 1 species
UACGUAGGGGGCGAGCGUUAUCCGGAUUUACUGGGCGUAAAGCGCGUUAAGGCGGCCAACAAAGUUGGUGGUGAAAUUUCAGGGCUCAACUCUGAAACUGCCUCCAAUACUGGUUGGCUUGAGUGCGAGAGAGGAAGGUGGAAUUCCCGGUGUAGUAGUGAAAUGCGUAGAGAUCGGGAGGAACACCAGAGGCGAAAGCGGCGACCUGGACAGGUACUGACACUCAACUACGAAAGCGUGGGGAGCAAACAGG